rnacentral:rRNA from 1 species
GGGCCCUGAGAGGGGGAUCCCCCACACUGGUACUGAGACACGGACCAGACUCCUACGGGAGGCAGCAGUGAGGAAUAUUGGACAAUGGAGGCAACUCUGAUCCAGCCAUGCCGCGUGCAGGAAGACUGCCCUAUGGGUUGUAAACUGCUUUUAUAUAGGAAGAAACCUACUUACGUGUAAGUAGCUGACGGUACUAUAAGAAUAAGGAUCGGCUAACUCCGUGCCAGCAGCCGCGGUAAUACGGAGGAUCCAAGCGUUAUCCGGAAUCAUUGGGUUUAAAGGGUCCGUAGGUGGAUAAUUAAGUCAGAGGUGAAAUCUUGCAGCUCAACUGUAAAAUUGCCUUUGAUACUGGUUAUCUUGAGUUAUUAUGAAGUAGUUAGAAUAUGUAGUGUAGCGGUGAAAUGCAUAGAUAUUACAUAGAAUACCAAUUGCGAAGGCAGAUUACUAAUAAUCAACUGACACUGAUGGACGAAAGCGUGGGUAGCGAACAGGAUUAGAUACCCUGGUAGUCCACGCCGUAAACGAUGGUUACUAGCUGUUUGGACCUUGUGUCUGAGUGGCUAAGCGAAAGUGAUAAGUAACCCACCUGGGGAGUACGUUCGCAAGAAUGAAACUCAAAGGAAUUGACGGGGGCCCGCACAAGCGGUGGAGCAUGUGGUUUAAUUCGAUGAUACGCGAGGAACCUUACCAGGGCUUAA